rnacentral:rRNA from 1 species
AAAGCGUGCGCAGGCGGUUUUGUAAGACUGUCGUGAAAUCCCCGGGCUCAACCUGGGAAUGGCGAUGGUGACUGCAAGGCUAGAGUUUGGCAGAGGGGGGUAGAAUUCCACGUGUAGCAGUGAAAUGCGUAGAUAUGUGGAGGAACACCGAUGGCCGAAGGCAGCCCCCUGGGUCAAAACUGACGCUCAUGCACGAAAGCGUGGGGAGCAAACAGGAUUAGAUACCCUGU